GUCAGAUAUAGUUCCAGGCGUUUCACUUUCAUCUCAUUUACUUCUCACGACCUUACCGUUUGCUAUGGGAAGAACUUUGUAGUCAAGCCUCCUGUGUUAUGUAAGGAAGGAGAAAUGACUACUGGCCAAAUGGAAAACCAUUGGGGAGCAUAGAUAAGACUUGCAGAUUCAUAUUUGCGAGCAUGAGUGCUGUCCUGAUGUUUCACUUGAAACAGCUCCACUUCAGAAAAGGAUAUACGUUUGAGGAGUAAAAGUUAUUUGAGGUGUAUGGGAAUUCACCUACAUGCUCUGUAUGUACUCUUCUAGUGCGGCUUAACCCAGUUGGUUUUGGUUUCGUGUGUGUAGUUUGUUGAAUAAAUUUGAAUCAGA